GGCGGGAUAAAGUAGUGGCUACUUACGAGCCUCAUAAGCUCGGUUAGGUGAGUUCGAUUCUCACUCCCGCAA
rnacentral:tRNA from 1 species